GCACGGAGUUGAUCUAGUUUCUGAUGGCAAGCACUAGUUCCCUUCUCUGUUGCCCUUGGCGAUCUGUAAGUUUCCUUCCCAUCCUUCUUCACUGUAGAUGCCAGCCUCUCCUGUGAUGUGUAAAGGUGGAAUACUAUUGGAGAACCUUUCUAUGGUGUGUUUCAAGAUCUCCUCGUACAAUCCUCCUUGUUAAACUUGUUUCUCAGCCAAAUCUCAGCUCUGCUGUCUGACACCUGGAUUUUUUUCUUUUCUCUGCAAAAUCAUGCCAUUUGUUGGGUAAUCCUUUACUCACCUUGGGGCUGUAGGCAGAAGAGCUUCCAAAUACCUGAAUACAAAUAGGUGAGCAGCUUUGCAGCAUGACACUCGUGCAAGUUGGCAGGGGCUUCCAGUGACAGCUCGAUGGGUUACGGGCAUUAAGGCUCAGAAAAUCUUGUGAGAACUCCUGAAGGGCUGAAGCAAAGCCUGUUUGAGAUGGCCUACAAAGAUAGGGCUUGA
rnacentral:lncRNA from 1 species